CAGAUACUACAAGUCUAUUCUCUAGCUUUGCUCUAGCUCAGAGGUUCUCAAACUGUGGUCCAUUCUCCAUUCAGGUGGUCCGUGGAUAGUUCCGUCUAAGGUGCACACCUGGGCAGCCGCACACGAGAGAAUAAAGGGCCACCCACCUAAUUAGUGGAGCUGCGCAGGCAUGACUCCACUAAUUAGGUGCCUGGACCCUGGAGAAGAUGCCCAUGUAAGGUGGGGUGGUGGCCUUGGGGAGAAUAGCU